UUUUGCACCAUAUUUACCUUCAUAGGAAACUCUUCUCAGUGGAUUGUCCACAAACAUUUCUAAGAUGCAUGCUUAGCUCAGUUCAUAAAUAGCCUUACCACUUCCUCAUAUUGCACAUUAAGCAAAAUGGAGCUUGUCGUACUUCUCUGUGCCGUUUCUCUGCUGCAUUCAUGUGAAGCACAAGAGCCCAGUGCUGUGACUCCUGUGUUUGUGAAGAAGGGAGAGGAUGUGCUUCUGAAUGUCACAAUAGCUGAUGUUCCUAAAGACGAUACUGUUACCUGGAAAUUCAAUCAAACAGUUAAUUUAGUACGAUUUUUAGCUGGAACAGAAACAAUCUUUGGUGAUUACCCUGGAAGGAUUGAGGUGCUUGAGAACUACUCUGUGAAACUGAAGAAUCUACAAGAGGCAGACAGUGGAGUUUAUAUUGCAGUAGUGUCUGGGGAUACAGAAAAACAAAUAACUGGAUACAAGGUCACAGUUCAAGAUCCAGUGUCUCCAGUUACACUGUCCGUGGACUCUGUGUCUAAUAGCUCAGACUGGUGUAACCUGACAGUGAGCUGCAGAGCACAGGACUCUCACAUUAACAGCACCUUUAGAUGUCUCAACCACACCUGCAGUCAGGAGGGAGGAGAGAGACCACAGGUCACACCCUCUGCUGCUGAUCUCCAUGUCUACCUGUCCAAAGGCUCCAUCAUCUGUAACCAUAGCAACCAGGUCAGCUGGACCAAGGACAUCAAAAUAAUUAAACAUUUCUGCCCCCUACUUGCUGAGCCUGAACCUGCCAUCAAUGUUACUGCCCGUAUCCUUGGUGUUAUCGCCGUAGUUUUGAUUUGCAUCUUAAUUGUUGUAGCAGUUCAGUAUUUUCCAAAGAGAGAAAAGAAUGAAACAGAAAGCAGGGAGAAUACAGUAUAUGAUGUUCUUCAGGUGAUCUAUUAACUGUAUGUGACCUGUGACUCCUCGCUACACCGUCUUCUGCAUCAUCAGCUGUUCCAGCUCCUGCUGCUUGCUCCUACCUGCCUCAUGCACACACCACUGGUUGUGCUGCUUGCUUGUGCUUACAUUUAAUGCGUUGGACCUGGGAAACAUCCAGAUGAUCAACAAUCCAUCUGUCCAAACCAGCUGCUGAGGUCGGACCUAGAGCUCAGAGUGAGAGUGAAGUUAUAGGUCUUUCUCCAAACUCCACCUACUGCUUGGUAGGGCCUCACACUGGAUCUGUGGAUUCAAGUACAACAAGAGGCACGACUCUGCCAGAGAGUCUUUAUGCCCAGGUGAAUAAACCUGCCAGGUCCUAAACAAGUAAUCAGCAUGGUGUUCUACAUUCUACUACACUGGCAUAAAUUUACAAUUUGUAAUUGUUGGGUAACCAGGAAACCUAGAGCAAAGUAGACUGGAUGAACGGUUUAAGAGAUAGCUCAAAGACAGACCACACACACAGACACACACACACACACACACACACACACUCUCACACACACACACAC